AUUGAACGCUGGCGGCAUGCCUUACACAUGCAAGUCGAACGGCAGCACGGGAGCAAUCCUGGUGGCGAGUGGCGAACGGGUGAGUAAUAUAUCGGAACGUGCCCAGUCGUGGGGAUAACGUAGCGAAAGCUACGCUAAUACCGCAUACGAUCUAUGGAUGAAAGCGGGGGAUCGCAAGACCUCGCGCGAUUGGAGCGGCCGAUAUCAGAUUAGGUAGUUGGUGAGGUAAAGGCUCACCAAGCCGACGAUCUGUAGCUGGUCUGAGAGGACGACCAGCCACACUGGGACUGAGACACGGCCCAGACUCCUACGGGAGGCAGCAGUGGGGAAUUUUGGACAAUGGGCGCAAGCCUGAUCCAGCAAUGCCGCGUGCAGGAUGAAGGCCUCGGUUGUAACUGCUUUGUUACGGUACGAAACGGUGAGCUCUAAUACAG
rnacentral:rRNA from 1 species